GCUGGGUGUGGUGGCUCACACCUGUAAUCCCAGGACUUUGGGAGGCUGAGGUGGGUGGAUCACCUGAGGUCAGGAGUUCGAGACCAGCCUGGCCAACAUGGUGAAACCCCAUCUCUG
ensembl:misc_RNA Metazoa_SRP Metazoan signal recognition particle RNA